GUGGAUUUAAAUGACCUCUUAUCAAGAUGGAUAAACCCAAGUUUCCCAGUGCUGGAAUAUAGAAAAUGGAUGGACAAGGAAGAGUACCAGGAGAUGGACCCACACAGAUGGGAUUUAGGCAUAGGUUUGGUUAUCCAAGGAGCAGAGCUGAGCUAUUUGCCAAUGGGACAUGGGAUGCUGAUGAUUUCUAGGAAGUGACCUCACAAUGACUCAAGCUACCACUUAAUGUUGAUUGUGAUGAAAUGCCAGCCGAGGCAUAUGCCAUUCAAGCUAAGGGGUGCUACACUUGACCACUGCGGCAGUAUAGAUGAGUCUGAAGAAUGGUAUGGGUUGGAUACUUUCGAAUGCACUCGAGCAGGGGUCUCCAUCCACAGGGCCACAGAGCUAGAGGUGAGCAGCAAAUGUCUUUUUGUCACUUCCAGCUGGAUCUACCAUGAAAGACUUCAGAGUCCAGGAAGAGAGACUGAUUGGGCAACAUGUUAUUCAGUUACAAAAAGACUUGGACUAUGACUCAAAAAUGAUCAAAUAAUAGUGCAUGCAUCCAAUGCAAUAAGAAGCACUUCUGGAGGGUGAGAGAAGCAUCCAGUUAAGUAGGUGCCACAGUUAUCCCCAUUUUGUGAAUGAAGUGAUGAAGACUUAGGAAUGAUGAGUGAUUGCCCAAGCUCACCUGGAUAUUAAGGGUCUUGCUCUGUUGUCCAGGCUGGAAUGUGGUAGUGCUAUCACAGCUGACUGUAUCCUCGACCUCUCAGGCUCAAGCAGUCCUCCCACCUCAGCCUCCCAGGUGGCUGAGACUGUAUGUGCUUGCCACAAUGCCCAACUAAUAUUUGGACUUUUCCUAUACAUGGGUUCCAAAGGGCUGACUGCGAAAUGUGAGUAUGCAUGGAUUUUGGUAUAUGCAGAGAUGGGGGGCUGGAACGAAUCCUCUCUGUAUGCCGAGGGAUGACCGUAUAUGUUUUUACAGUUAUACUGUAGGAUACAUAUUGUUCCAUAGCCUUGAAAAUGAUGAUUUUUAAUGACAAAUAAUUUUGAAUUUAGUGGUAUAAUAUAAAAGUAGCAGCUGAUCUGGUGUGGUGGCUCAUGCCGGUAAUCACAACACUUUGGGAGUCUGAAGUAGGAGGAUGGCUCAAGGCCAAGAGUUUGAGACAGGCCUCAGAAAUCAAGGGAGUCACCAUCCCUACAGAAAUAUACAUGAAUUAGCCUAGUGUGAUGGCAUGUUCCUGUAGUCCCAGCUACUUGGGA
rnacentral:lncRNA from 1 species